UCCCUAUACGACGACUUUCCGCGAAGAUCAACCCGAUGUCGUAAACGUCCAACUUAAUUAAAAAUGUACACGAGUGCCCGCGCGUUCAAUGCCAACUUGGAGCGCACGAUUGAGCUUUGCUCCACACUGUCGAGUCAACUAAAAAGCGUCACUCCCGGGAGGAAUUGUGGACACAAACGGUGCUAAAGUCAAUUAAAAAAUAUAUUCAAUGAUGACAAGAGACUUAUUCGUAAGGUUUAUGGAAGCCGCCAGCGCCUCGCGGUUGCCUCCGCCCCCCAUUUAUUAUCCGCGAGGCCUAUCCCACCAAGCACCGAGCUCGAGUUCCAGACGUGGCCGCCAUUUGGUAGCUCAUUUCGGGAAGGAGAGACGCCGACGACGCGCUCCACCUCGAUGGAGGUGGAGCUUCCUUCCGGAGCUCCUCAUACUCCUGAUGGAUGCCGGAGCGCUGAAGCCUGCCAAGAUGAGUCAGCAGCUCCUGAGGACGCAUGGAUUCGGGUCCCGGGAUGUGAACGGAAGAGUCCUCCAGGGGGAUGCCCACCAGUUCAUCCACGGGGUCCACGCGACCAUUUUGCCCCGCUAGAAGCUGCUGGUUGCAGCUAAAGGCAUCCAAGGGAAGAAGGCCGCCCAGGUGCUGGGGUAGGCAGUCCUUGGGGAGGUGUUGGCGGAGCUCGGCCAUCUUCACCAUUUGAACCUUCGGGUUUGUGUAGAGUAAAAAUCGAUAUAUUGCUUUAACCUUUUGUAGAGCACUUAUUUAACUCACAGGCUGCCAUUGCUGUCAGCCUUGCCAGUCAAAAUGCAUUGGAUGUCUCGCGCUGUCAAUGGCACUGAAGCAUGAGCGUCUACAGCCAGUCCUCAAGAGUUUAAAUGAAUUUGACAUCUAUUGUUGUCAAUGACACUGUGUCAAUCACACGUAACUCGAGGUGAAAAGUGACAAUAUCAGCGCAUUGCCUACAUAGGAAUAUCGACUCUAGCAAUAUGGCCGCCAUGUAAGUGCGUCGGUUCGACAUACUUACGAUAUGUUGAGUUAAAAAUAAUCCCACAAGUAAUUUUUAUAUGACAGUGUUGAUGCAAAAAAAUCAUUCCAAAUGGAAAAUAUUAUUUUUACAAUAAAACUAAAACAUUCUUGUUGCUUACCCGUUCCCGAAGUUUCUCCUUCAGUAGAAGACUGAGCAGGUUGUAGGGAACCCGAAACCACACCGGGGCCCCAACAAUCAACACUUUCUUCAGCCUGGCGGGGAACGCUCCCUGGUAGACAAAAAUAAGAAUUAAACAUGGAAAAGUAUGGGUACUAGGCCAGAAUUAAAGGCGUUGUAAUGUACUUUUACAGUACAGGUAGUCCCCAGGUUACGAACUAGUUCCGUUCCUACGCUGGCGACGUAACCUCGAAUUUCAGCGUAAAUCGGAAUUAACCCUUUAAGUACACCCAAAUACCUCCUAAAUCUCAAAAUAACUGUCCCAAAACAUGUAUUUUUACGUCAGAUUCAUAAAAUCAAGUAAAAAAUACUGCUCAGCCCGUGCAGUUUAGUUUCUCUACCUUCUUGAAAUAUUAACUGGCGUUCACCCCCGCUUCCUAAAGUGAAAGCAACGCUCGACACUAACAGAAAGAAGCGCUGCUAUGACGUCAAAAAAGUUUGAGUGCAACAUAGGAAAGCUGACCGCACAUAUAGUACUGUAAAAUGAAAUACCAGGUAUGCAUUGCAAUCAGGGGUCGCGUUAACCGGAAAUUUUCCGUCGUUGACCGGUUUUUUAAAACGGUGACGGAAAAAACUGAAGUCCGUCAGUCAUUUUGACAGGUUGCAAUUCACACCCCAGACCACAGGGUGGCACAUUAAUUAGCUAUUGUCUCUCUUAAUGCAUGACGUCGUUGGCUAUUCUGUCAGAAUAUUGUAGUGUAACCGGGGUCUGGCGGGGGCACCGUGAUUGACACAUCAACGCGAGGUUCUUAUUGGUGCACCCGGUGUGCUAGCGCGUGAUCCAAUUGGUGGACUAGAUUGCCGCCCGUGGUUUGACAAGUUUUCGAGGUACCGGUUUACUUCCUUAUGUCUUCCUUCCCCUUCCGUUUCCGCCUGUUUACCAUUGAAGUCAAUGGCGGUGGAAUAGAAGUUGGAAGGUCUUUAUACAAGAUCCCGGGAAUGUUAUUUUGAUGUAGGCGGGUGGAGAACCAAGCCAAGGCCUCCAUGCUUCGUACCAUGUCGAUUUCCAAACCAUGGGUGCUCGUACUCGUCAUAAGGAGAUGGACAAAACUGACAGCUCCUGCAGUCAUGCCCCCGCUGUUAUGGAAGCUGGGAAAUGCUGUUAUAAAAGAGAAGACAACUUGACUUGUACGUUGAUGGACAUAUAUCGAACAUAUAUAGUUUGCGUUCCACAAUGAUGAUGACAGCUCGACUCCCGGGAGAGGCCGAGAGAGGGAGGAAUUGUGACAGACGGUGGUUCGCCGAGAUCGCCGUGAUCCAACUACGAACUUGUGAACGGUAGCAUUUUUAAAUAUAUGCUAUUGGAGCUGGAAUUACCGAAGAGGAGAGCGAGAUGGACUGCUGUAAUUCGACAAGAAAUCGGGGCACCAAACGAUCACCACAGACUAUGUAGUAGUCAUUUUAUAUCUGGUAAGAUGCAUUUAAUAUAUAUUUAGAAGAUUUUGGGCUGACAACCACAAUUAAGAUCAUUGUGUGACGUUGGUGAUUGGGGUCUAUAUGGUUGCCUCUUUUUCUUUGGGAGUGGAGUUGUUUUGUUGGUGUUGUUGGCGGUAAGCAGAGUAAAAAGAGGGAGAAAAAUACAACUUCAGUGUCUAAUUUUUCGCCGCCAAGCAAGCGUUACAAAAUUAAAAAUGAAUGAAAACUAAAUACUAUUGAAUAUGUCAUCAUUAUCAUUUUAAAAAUUUCAGUGACUGGUAAAAAUAGAUUAUGACCGGAUUUUUAUGACCCUGUCAGUCAAAAUGACAGACAACGAAAAUGUCUAGCGCAACCUCUGAUUGCAAUAUAGAGAUCAACCAUUUAGAUUAAUUAGAGUUAAUAAAUAACUAAAUUAAAUGACAAACCAUAUACUGUACUUACCAUCGUUGCUAAGAGGCGGCGGAUGAGAAUAUGUUACGCAACACAAAAAAUAAACACUGAAGACAAAACGGCUGUCGAGACUCUGGCGUGGUAAAGUCAAAAUAACGUAAGUAUGGUACGUCGUAACCCGGGUAAUACCUGUACAUUUAUUCUGCUAUCAGUAAAUAAUAAACCUUAAGUAAGUUGAGAAUCUUCUUGCUCAAGUCCAGCUCAAAAUUUGUGUAGGUGGAACCGGCCAUGUCAUAAAUGAACACCAAGCCAUUCCUUUGGGUCUCAAAGCUGAGGACAACAAUAAAUAUGAAUGAAUAGUAAUAAAAACUUUCAAAUGAAAUUUCAAACUCUCUCAAUCUAUUCUAACUUUCUUGAACCAAUUUAAAAUCAGCCUCUCGGGGCCCAAAUUUUUUCUUUCCUCUGGUUUUGUACAUUCUGUAUAAAUACAACUGAAACCUUUAUGGGGUAAGUGACUCUUUUUCGUAAUUAAAAAUAACAACAACAACAACAAAGUUUGGUUCAUGUUUACCACAAUAUUAGACCUACAGUGGGGUAAAUAAGUAUUUAGUCAACCACCAAUUGUGCAAGUUCUCCUACUGUACUUGA